AAAAAAAUAUUUUUUAAAAAAUAAUUUUAGUUUGACAAACUAAUGUUAUAAAGUAUUUAACUAAUUUUUU
rnacentral:tRNA from 1 species